AUUGAACGCUGGCGGCAUGCUUUACACAUGCAAGUCGAACGGUAACAGGCCUUCGGGUGCUGACGAGUGGCGAACGGGUGAGUAAUGCAUCGGAACGUACCCAGAGGUGGGGGAUAACGCAGCGAAAGCUGUGCUAAUACCGCAUGUGAUCUGAGGAUGAAAGCGGGGGACCGAGCAGCAAUGUUUGGCCUCGCGCCUUUGGAGCGGCCGAUGUCGGAUUAGCUAGUUGGUGGGGUAAAGGCCUACCAAGGCGACGAUCCGUAGCUGGUCUGAGAGGACGACCGGCCACACUGGAACGGAGACACGGCCCAGACUCCUACGGGAGGCAGCAGUGGGGAAUUUUGGGCAAUGGGCGCAAGCCUGAUCCAGCAAUGCCGCGUGCGGGAAGGAGGCCUUCGGGUUGUAAACCGCUUUUGGCAGGAACGAAACGGUGUCCGCUAAUACCGGGCGCUAAUGACGGUACCUGAAGAAUAAGCACCGGCUAACUACGUG
rnacentral:rRNA from 1 species